UCUAUCAAAUUUUUAUUUUUGAAGCUUGGACCAACAAUGGACUCUAGGUCAUCACGAUCACACGACUUGCCUUUGCCUUUUUUGGGUGUGCGGGGUACUUUUUUGGGUUAGAAUAGGUAUAACUUGAGAAAGAGGAUAACAUUUUAGUCCAGUAACUAUGGCAAACUCCUUCCAACCAAAAGAAACAGGCAUGCCACAGUAAUUUAUCCACACCUCAUCCAUCUUAUCUUUGUUUUCAUACA
rnacentral:lncRNA from 1 species